AAAAAAACGUGAUUAACAAAUGAUCAAGGAUGCUAAAUCACACUUCAAGUAUUUUGAGAAUUGUUCUUAAAGCAUCACAAAAUUAAGUCUAAGAGAAAGUUUGGUAACAGUUCUAAACCUUAUAAAAAUUUGGGAAAAAGAUGGCCUCAACUACAAGCAUGGCUUUACACAAUUACGGCUCAACUACAAACAUGGUAAUUUCCAAAAAUAUAAAGAAUAGCAUAUCAUAAAGCAUAAUUCAUUCACAAGAUAAAACUUACACGCACAAAUUUUACAUGUGGA
rnacentral:misc_RNA from 1 species